UACGGAGGGGGCGAGCGUUAUUCGGAAUUAUUGGGCGUAAAGGGCGCGUAGGCGGCCUGUUAAGUCGAACGUGAAAUCCCCGGGCUCAACCCGGGAACUGCGUCCGAUACUGGCAGGCUUGAAUCCGGGAGAGGGAUGCGGAAUUCCAGGUGUAGCGGUGAAAUGCGUAGAUAUCUGGAGGAACACCGGUGGCGAAGGCGGCAUCCUGGACCGGCAUUGACGCUGAGGCGCGAAAGCCAGGGGAGCAAACGGG
rnacentral:rRNA from 1 species